rnacentral:rRNA from 1 species
AGUGAACGCUGGCGGUAGGCCUAACACAUGCAAGUCGAACGGCAGCACAGUAAGAGCUUGCUCUUACGGGUGGCGAGUGGCGGACGGGUGAGGAAUACAUCGGAAUCUACUUUUUCUUGGGGGAUAACGUAGGGAAACUUACGCUAAUACCGCAUACGACCUACGGGUGAAAGCAGGGGAUCUUCGGACCUUGCGCGAUUGAAUGAGCCGAUGUCGGAUUAGCUAGUUGGCGGGGUAAAGGCCCACCAAGGCAACGAUCCGUAGCUGGUCUGAGAGGAUGAUCAGCCACACUGGAACUGAGACACGGUCCAGACUCCUACGGGAGGCAGCAGUGGGGAAUAUUGGACAAUGGGCGAAAGCCUGAUCCAGCCAUACCGCGUGGGUGAAGAAGGCCUUCGGGUUGUAAAGCCCUUUUGUUGGGAAAGAAAAGCAGCAGGUUAAUCCCCCGCUGUUCUGACGGUACCCAAAGAAUAAGCACCGGCUAACUUCGUG